GACGAACGCUGGCGGCGUGCCUAAUACACGCAAGUCGAACGCUUUUUCUUUCACCGGAGCUUGCUCCAUCGAAAGAAAAAGAGUGGCGAACGGGUGAGUAACACGUGGGUAACCUGCCCAUCAGAAGGGGAUAACACUUGGAAACAGGUGCUAAUACCGUAUAACACUAUUUUCCGCAUGGAAGAAAGUUGAAAGGCGCUUUUGCGUCACUGAUGGAUGGACCCGAGGUGCAUUAGCUAGUUGGUGAGGUAACGGCUCACCAAGGCAAUGAUGCAUAGCCGACCUGAGAGGGUGAACGGCCACAUUGGGACUGAGACACGGCCCAGACUCCUACGGGAGGCAGCAGUAGGGAAUUUUCGUCAAUGGGGGAAACCUUGAACGAGCAAUGCCGCGUGAGUGAAGAAGGAUUUCGGUCUGUAAAGCUCUGUUGUAAAGGAAGAAAGCGAAGUAGAGGAAAUGCUACUUCGUUGACGGUACUUUACCAGAAAGCCACGGCUAACUACGUGCCAGCCGCCGCUGUAA
rnacentral:rRNA from 1 species